GUGCCAGCAGCCGCGGUAAUACAGAGGGUGCAAGCGUUAUUCGGAAUUACUGGGCGUAAAGCGCAUGUAGGCGGUUCGGUAAGUCUGGUGUGAAAUCCCCCGGCUCAAUCGGGGAAGUGCAUCGGAUACUGCCAAACUGGAGUACAGGAAGGGAGAACGGAAUUCCAGGUGUAGAGGUGAAAUUCGUAGAUAUCUGGAGGAACAACGGCGGCGAAGGCGGUUCUCUGGACUGUAACUGACGCUGAGAUGCGAAAGCGUGGGGAGCAAACAGGAUUAGAAACCCCGGUAGUCC
rnacentral:rRNA from 1 species